UGAAUCUGUUAUUUUUGUCAAUUCAAAUUGAAAAUGUCAAUUCAUCCUGAUUUAUCUUCUUUCUUGCACUCUUGCCAGGUGGUGUACAAGAAGUCGUCCAAAGAGAUGUCUGCGCUUUCUGAAAGAGGACUAUAGAAUAAGAAGAGUCACUGGUUGUGCAGUUGAUGGCAGUGAAUAGAUGGGUCGUCUCAGCGUACGUGCUGCAGGGAAACUACUGAAGCGACAGGAAGGACAUUGCUUAUUAACCUGCCGUCUCACCAGCGAAGAAGAAAAGCGGAAUAAUCAUUCAAUCACAAAGCAAAAAAAAAGGGACAAGUUGGACGACAGUCUGCUCGUUGCUGCGUGAUGAAGUAGUCGGCCGGUGAUAUGAGUGUGGACAAGUCCACAGUUUGGCCACAGGUGCUUCUCCAGGAGCUCAUUUACCUGCUGGAGAAGAAGAAGCGCUUGCGGCUAAAGCUAAAUCGUGGCAGGCUUUUCACCUGCGUGAACCUGGAUUUACCACCUCUGUCUGUAAGGAAAAGGAACAGACACAGUGACUCAUUUUUAGUUGACUUUUUAUUUUUCACUUUAGACUGGAAACUGAAGCAGGUGAUCGUUCGUGCAUUUGAAAUAUCAGACGGCCCAUGAAAUGCUGUCACCUUGGCGAGGAGCGCUACACCAGUCAAUCCAUGCUGCAGGAACCCGGUACUGCAGCACCACCUGGUGGACAAGAGCAGGAAGAACAUGCAAUGACCGCAUCAGUGAAUG